UACGGAGGGCGCAAGCGUUGUUCGGAAUCAUUGGGCGUAAAGCGCGUGUAGGCGGUCUGGUCAGUCGGGUGUGAAAUACCGGAGCUCAACUCCGGAACUGCAUUCGAUACUGCCAGGCUAGAGUCCCGGAGAGGGUGGUGGAAUUCCCGGUGUAGAGGUGAUAUUCGUAGAUAUCGGGAUGAACACCAGCAGUGAAGGCGGCCAUCUGGACGGUGACUGACGCUGAGACGCGAAAGCGUGGGGAGUAAACAGG
rnacentral:rRNA from 1 species